GACGAACGCUGGCGGCGUGCCUAAUACAUGCAAGUUGAGCGCUGAAGGUUGGUACUUGUACCAACUGGAUGAGCAGCGAACGGGUGAGUAACGCGUGGGGAAUCUGCCUUUGAGCGGGGGACAACAUUUGGAAACGAAUGCUAAUACCGCAUAAAAACUUUAAACACAAGUUUUAAGUUUGAAAGAUGCAAUUGCAUCACUCAAAGAUGAUCCCGCGUUGUAUUAGCUAGUUGGUGAGGUAAAGGCUCACCAAGGCGAUGAUACAUAGCCGACCUGAGAGGGUGAUCGGCCACAUUGGGACUGGGACACGGCCCAAACUCCUACGGGAGGCAGCAGUAAGGAAUCUUCGGCAAUGGACGAAAGUCUGACCGAGCAACGCCGCGUGAGUGAAGAAGGUUUUCGGGUCGUAAAACUCUGUUUGUAGAGAAGAACGUUAGUGGGAGUGGAAAGCUCAUCAAGUGACGGUAACUACCCAGAAAGGGACGGCUAACUACGUG
rnacentral:rRNA from 1 species